rnacentral:rRNA from 1 species
GACGAACGCUGGCGGCGUGCUUAACACAUGCAAGUCGAACGAAGAGCGAUGGAAGCUUGCUUCUAUCAAUCUUAGUGGCGAACGGGUGAGUAACGCGUAAUCAACCUGCCCUUCAGAGGGGGACAACAGUUGGGAACGACUGCUAAUACCGCAUACGAUCUAAUCUCGGCAUCGAGGAUAGAUGAAAGGUGGCCUCUACAUGUAAGCUAUCACUGAAGGAGGGGAUUGCGUCUGAUUAGCUAGUUGGAGGGGUAACGGCCCACCAAGGCGAUGAUCAGUAGCCGGUCUGAGAGGAUGAACGGCCACAUUGGGACUGAGACACGGCCCAGACUCCUACGGGAGGCAGCAGUGGGGAAUCUUCCGCAAUGGACGAAAGUCUGACGGAGCAACGCCGCGUGAGUGAUGACGGCCUUCGGGUUGUAAAGCUCUGUUAAUCGGGACGAAAGGCCUUCUUGCGAAUAGUGAGAAGGAUUGACAGUACCGGAAUAGAAAGCCACGGCUAACUACGUG